rnacentral:rRNA from 1 species
GACGAACGCUGGCGGCGUGCUUAACACAUGCAAGUCGAACGGAAAGGCCCUGCUUUUGUGGGGUGCUCGAGUGGCGAACGGGUGAGUAACACGUGAGUAACCUGCCCUUGACUUUGGGAUAACUUCAGGAAACUGGGGCUAAUACCGGAUAGGAGCUCCUGCUGCAUGGUGGGGGUUGGAAAGUUUCGGCGGUUGGGGAUGGACUCGCGGCUUAUCAGCUUGUUGGUGGGGUAGUGGCUUACCAAGGCUUUGACGGGUAGCCGGCCUGAGAGGGUGACCGGCCACAUGGGGACUGAGAUACGGCCCAGACUCCUACGGGAGGCAGCAGUGGGGAAUAUUGCACAAUGGGCGGAAGCGUGAUGCAGCAACGCCGCGUGCGGGAUGACGGCCUUCGGGUUGUAAACCGCUUUCGCCUGUGACGAAGCGUGAGUGACGGUAAUGGGUAAAGAAGCACCGGCUAACUACGUG